rnacentral:lncRNA from 1 species
UAGGGAAUGUAAACAUGUUUUAUUGUCAAAGGAUGUCAUUUCAUCAAAUUCUCCAUCUUUACAUAGCUCCCACAAAAGCUAUACAAAAAACCGCGUUCUUGGAAAGGUAUAGAUACUGAAAGAGAAAACCAUCACAUUUUAAAAAUGUAAUUCCUUGUAAAUGAUGAAUUAUCGUGUACACUGGACUAUAAAUCCGUACGGUUUUCCUCACCGCUUCUUAUAUAACUUGAUUCGCAAUACUGAAAACUUACUAACCCACUAGAAUCAGACCUUAGAACUGCAGAAAAUCACCUAAACAUGCGUCAACACUUAGGGACCCGGGUCCAGCUUUCCAGGACAAUAAUCGCGUCCGCCGGGCGGGCUCUGGCCGCCGCGCAGGCCAGCGGUCCUAGCCCGAGCCCCAGCGCGAGCGCGACCCGACCGCGGGACCGGAAGCCGCGCUCCCGGCAGCCCCCCUACGCGGGGCGGGGCGAGGGCGCGCGGCCCAGAAAGCAGGCCCGCGUUCACGGAGAACGACGGAAGCCCGAGCGCCGUCCCCGGCCUCCCUCAGCCCUGCCCCCGCGGCCCGGCCCCUUCUCAGCCCUCUGCACGCAGGCCGAACGUGGAGGUGAAAGGUUGGCGAGCAGAACAGUGGCUGGGACUGCAGCGCCCGCUCCACUGAGGUUUCCAUCAGCCCGACCUGGAGGAGCCACUGUCGCCGUCACUGCAGCCUAUACUUUAUUAGAAUUUAUACGUUGCCUGGAUUGAGGGGGAAAAUAAUUAACACCCUCACAAAUAUAUCGUAAACAAAAUAUUUAUUAGAAAUAAAUAACUCAUUUAUUUUACAUAUUUCAUUUCAACAAUAACAUUACCCAAUUUAUCAUUUAACAUUUUUGCAAGACAACUUAACGACUACUUAUUAGCAUUUCCAUUUUUCACCCGCGCACCAUAACGCACGGGCGCUCCCUAAAUGGCCUGGCACAGGCCAAGCCAGGAACUCAGAAGACCCUGGGGAGGGAACUCCUCCCUCUUAUCCACACCACGAAUGCAGGAGCAGAUUCUCACAGUGAACACAUAAUCACUGUCCUACGCGCGCGCGCGCGCACCCAUGCACACACACACACACACACACACACAUGCCUCCUAAUGAGCAGCUCUCUCAGAAGAGAACAGACAUGCAAGUUGGUUCCCUGCCUGAUUCCAAGUGGUCAUCUCACAUGGCCCCUGACCCCCACUCACACGCAGCGUGCAUUUGCAUAUGUGUACAUGUGUGUGUAGAUGCCCCAUGGCAUACAGACAGCCAUGGACCAUGGCCUAUGCCUGGCUCAGGUCUCACAUAAUUGGGGAGUGGAGAGGAGCAGCUGCCUCCUCUUCUUCCUCCAUCUUUGUGUGUGUGUGUGUGUUAGGGAGACAGGGACCCCACAGAGGCCAUAGGCCAGUCCUCCAGCUCCUCAGUAGCUCUGCAGCCCAGGCCUGCUCCAUGUUCUCCUCUUUUCCUGGCUCAGUGAGGGUUGCCUGGGGUCAAGUAACCAUGUGCUCCAAAUGUCUGCUAAUGGGGUUACCCGGAGCCUGGCCUGGGCCCUCCCCACCCCAUCCUGGAGCUUUCUCUUAUAAGGAUAUGUAGAAACUACCAGCAAUCAGAUGCUGGGAUUCUGGGGUGCGGGGGUCUAGGGUUCUGGGCUGUGAAUUUAGUCCUAUGCUCUGAGCUGUGGGGGGUCUGGUUGAGGAUGAAGCAGGUCAGACCACUGGUAUUUGGUGUGGCUUACCUAUCCCUUGUCCAGUCUCAGCCUAGCUCCCCCUGCCUUCCUCCUCCCUGGGGAAGCCCUCUCCCUGCCUGGGGAGGAGAGCUGGCAGCAGGGAUGCUCCUGCCCCAGCCCUGGCAUGGUGCCUGGAACAAGAGGGAGGUGUUCCUAAAUGUGUAUGGAACUCUUCUCAGUCCUUGAACAGACACGUUGUAGUUGUCUGUGUUAGAUGUGGGCUUUAAGGAACAGAUGGGUGCACAUCCCUUGGGACACAUGUGGGUACACAUGCACAUGUGACACUCUGUGGACCCUGCCCAGGCCUGACUCACCCUCUCCCAGCACCAGCCACAGCAUCUGGGAGAUCAGGGUUCUUUUGGGUGUCAGGGACAAGCCUGAGCUACUCCCUCCAUGUGCAGAGCUUUUGCCCUCCAGCUGGGAGGCAGAGAUGGCAGGCAGAG